UACGAAGGGGGCGAGCGUUGUUCGGAUUUACUGGGCGUAAAGCGCGCGUAGGCGGCUUUGUAAGUUAGAGGUGAAAGCCCGGAGCUUAACUCCGGAACUGCCUUUAAGACUGCAUCGCUAGAAUUGUGGAGAGGUGAGUGGAAUUCCGAGUGUAGAGGUGAAAUUCGUAGAUAUUCGGAAGAACACCAGUGGCGAAGGCGACUCACUGGACACAUAUUGACGCUGAGGUGCGAAAGCGUGGGGAGCAAACAGG
rnacentral:rRNA from 1 species